rnacentral:rRNA from 1 species
UGUUAGAAGAGAGAGGGGAGGAGGAAGCUCGGGAGGAGAGUUUUUUUUUUUUUUUUUUAGAGCGGGCUACCUGCAGUCGACGGUGAACUCGCUGGAGUGGAUCAGUGGCGAACGGGUGAGUAACACGUGAGCAACCUGCCCCAAACUCUGGAAUAAGCGCUGGAAACGGCGUCUAAUACUGGAUACGAGACCAACCUGCAUGGGUAUGGUUUGGAAAGUUUUUCGGUUUGGGAUGGGCUCGCGGCCUAUCGUUGGUGAGGUAAUGGCUCACCAAGGCGACGACGGGUAGCCGGCCUGAAAGGGCGACCGGCCACACUGGGACUGAGACACGGCCCAGACUCCUACGGGAGGCAGCAGUGGGGAAUAUUGCACAAUGGGCGAAAGCCUGAUGCAGCGACGCCGCGUGAGGGAUGACGGCCUUCGGGUUGUAAACCUCUUUCAGCAGGGAAGAAGCGAAAGUGACGGUACCUGCAGAAGAAGCACCGGCUAACUACGUGCCAGCAGCCGCGGUAAUACGUAGGGUGCGAGCGUUGUCCGGAAUUAUUGGGCGUAAAGGUAGGCGGUUUGUCGCGUCUGCUGUGAAAAUCCGGGGCUCAACCCCGGACUUGCAGUGGGUACGGGCAGACUAGAGUGUGGUAGGGGAGACUGCUGGUGUAGCGGUGAAAUGCGCAGAUAUCAGGAGGAACACCGAUGGCGAAGGCAGGUCUCUGGGCCACUACUGACGCUGAGAAGCGAAAGCAUGGGGAGCGAACAGGAUUAGAUACCCUGGUAGUCCAUGCCGUAAACGUUGGGAACUAGGUGUGGGUCUCAUUCCACGAGAUCCGUGCCGCAGCUAACGCAUUAAGUUCCCCGCCUGGGGAGUACGGCCGCAAGGCUAAAACUCAAAGGAAUUGACGGGGGCCCGCACAAGCGGCGGAGCAUGCGGAUUAAUUCGAUGCAACGCGAAGAACCUUACCAAGGCUUGACAUAUACCGGAAACUUCCAGAGAUGGUUGCCCCUUUUAGGUCGGUAUACAGGUGGUGCAUGGUUGUCGUCAGCUCGUGUCGUGAGAUGUUGGGUUAAGUCCCGCAACGAGCGCAACCCUCGUUCUAUGUUGCCAGCACGUAAUGGUGGGGACUCAUGA